CUUGUGCAGUGUGGUAUAUGGUCAGCAUUUUGUCCUCUAGUCCCUGAAGACUAAUGGAUAGAUUGAGAGAAUUACACUUGGCUGCUGUUAGUAUGGUUGCAUUUAAUGUAGGUGAUGUGUGGCACUAGUCUGCAGGGUUCUGCUGUUGUGCCUAGAGUUUUGGAAAGCAGAAUUGCUAACUGCAGCUCUGCUGUGCUCCAGAAAGGCUCAAACUUCACACAGCUUGUGGGCAUGAGCACUGGCUUUGCUGGGAAAAGUGGUGGUUCUUCCAUGUAGUUCUUUCACCCCUGCCCUAUGUCUGCUCAGGGGAUAAAUUUUCUUGUUAUCUUCUGUGGGCAUGCUAAAGUAGGGAGGGUCUGACCAGAACUCAUGACAGUCAAUGGCAAAGGGAGCUCAGGUUUAAGGAGGUUGUACUGGUGCGUUUUGGUGCUCAUCAGCAGCAGCAGUAUGCUCCUCUCUUUCUCAGUCACUGAGAUGGCCAUGCCUGUUUCCCUGGAAAUAGCACUGAAGCUGAGGCCCUGCAGAUCAGCUCCUGUGUGCUCUGAUCUGAACCUGCCGACCCCAGCCAGAAUUCACCGUGCCAGAUCUUUGGUCACAUCACCUGACACCAGGCUCCUCAGAGCAUGUUAUGGGUCAUGUUGCCCUGAACUGUUCUUCUUACACCCACCUGCUGUCUUGAGCUCAUUUCCUUACAUUGAGAAAGUACCUGGGAAAGAAUUGACUCAGAAAAUAUUUAAAGAUGGAUUGGCUGCAAUGGUAAUCAAGAGAAGAAGACCAUAA
rnacentral:lncRNA from 1 species